UACCUACGGGGGGCAGCAGUGGGGAAUAUUGGGCAAUGGGCGCAAGCCCGACCCAGCAACGCCGCGUGAAGGAAGAAGGCUUUCGGGUUGUAAACUUCUUUUCUCAGGGACGAAGAAAGUGACGGUACCUGAGGAAUAAGCCACGGCUAACUACGUGCCAGCAGCCGCGGUAAUACGUAGGUGGCAAGCGUUAUCCGGAUUUACUGGGCGUAAAGGGCGUGUAGGCGGGAAAGCAAGUCAGAUGUGAAAACCACAGGCUCAACCUGUGGCCUGCAUUUGAAACUGUUUUUCUU
rnacentral:rRNA from 1 species